GGGUGUAUAGCUCAGUGGUAGAGUACAUGCCUAGCAUGCACGAGGUCUUGGGUUCAGUCCCCAGCACCUCCA
rnacentral:tRNA from 1 species